rnacentral:rRNA from 1 species
GUGAGGAAUAUUGGUCAAUGGGCGAGAGCCUGAACCAGCCAAGUAGCGUGCAGGAUGACGGCCCUAUGGGUUGUAAACUGCUUUUACACGGGGAUAAAGUGUGCGACGUGUCGUUCAUUGCAGGUACCGUGCGAAUAAGGACCGGCUAAUUCCGUGGCAGCAGCCGCGGUAAUACGGAAGGUCCGGGCGUUAUCCGGAUUUAUUGGGUUUAAAGGGAGCGUAGGACGUCUGUUAAGCGUGUUGUGAAAUGUAGAUGCUCAACAUCUGAAUUACAGAGCGAGCUGACCUACUUGAGUGCGGAGGAAGUAGGCGGAAUUCGUGGUGUAGCGGUGAAAUGCUUAGAUAUCACGAAGAACUCCGAUUGCGAAGGCAGCUUACUGUAGCGCCACUGACGCUGAAGCUCGAAAGUGCGGGUAUCGAACAGGAUUAGAAACCCGAGUAGUCC